UUUAAAUGGCCGCAGUAUACUAACUGUGCAAAGGUAGCAUAAUCAUUAGUCUUUUAAUUGAAGGCUGGUAUGAAUGGUUGGACGAGAUAUUAACUGUUUCAUAAAAAUUUAUAUUAGAAUUUUAUUUUUUAGUCAAAAAGCUAAAAUUUAUUUAAAAGACGAGAAGACCCUAUAAAUCUUUAUAUUUAAAUUAUUAUAAUUUUAUAGAUAAUUUUUGUUAUAAUAAUUAAUAAUAUUUUAUUGGGGUGAUAUUAAAAUUUAACUAACUUUUAAUUUUUAAAAAUCAUUAAUUUAUGAAUAAUUGAUCCGUUAUUAACGAUUAAAAAAAUAAGUUACUUUAGGGAUAACAGCGUAAUUUUUUUGGAGAGUUCAUAUCGAUAAAAAAGAUUGCGACCUCGAUGUUGGAUUAAGAUAUAAUUUUAGGUGUAGCCGCUUAAAUUUUAAGUCUGUUCGACUUUUAA
rnacentral:rRNA from 1 species